rnacentral:rRNA from 1 species
UACGUAGGGCGCAAGCGUUGUCCGGAAUUAUUGGGCGUAAAGAGCUCGUAGGCGGUCUGUCGCGUCCGUUGUGAAAACUCGAGGCUCAACCUCGGGCUUGCAGUGGAUACGGGCAGACUGGAGUGCGGUAGGGGAGAAUGGAAUUCCUGGUGUAGCGGUGAAAUGCGUAGAUAUCAGGAGGAACACCGGUGGCGAAGGCGGUGUGCUGGGCCGUAGCUGACGCUGAUGCGCGACAGCGUGGGGAGCAAACAGG